rnacentral:rRNA from 1 species
UGGGGAAUUUUGCGCAAUGGGGGAAACCCUGACGCAGCAACGCCGCGUGGAGGAUGAAGGUCCUUGGAUUGUAAACUCCUUUCGACCGGGACGAUUAUGACGGUACCGGAUGAAGAAGCACCGGCUAACUCUGUGCCAGCAGCCGCGGUAAUACAGAGGGUGCAAGCGUUGUUCGGAAUUAUUGGGCGUAAAGGGCGCGUAGGCGGUGUGGCAAGUUUCUCGUGAAAUCUAUGGGCUCAACCCAUAGCCUGCGGGGAAAACUGCCAUGCUCGAGUGUGGGAGAGGUGCGUGGAAUUCCCGGUGUAGCGGUGAAAUGCGUAGAGAUCGGGAGGAACACCAGCGGCGAAAGCGGCGCACUGGACCACUACUGACGCUGAUGCGCGAAAGCUGGGGGAGCAAACAGGAUUAGAUACCCGUGUAGUCC